rnacentral:rRNA from 1 species
UACGUAGGGUGCAAGCGUUGUCCGGAAUUAUUGGGCGUAAAGAGCUCGUAGGCGGCUUGUCACGUCGGGUGUGAAAGCCCGGGGCUUAACCCCGGGUCUGCAUUCGAUACGGGCAGGCUAGAGUGUGGUAGGGGAGAUCGGAAUUCCUGGUGUAGCGGUGAAAUGCGUAGAUAUCGGAAGGAACAUCAGUGGCGAAAGCGGCUUCCUGGACCAGCACCGACGUUCAGGCACGAAAGCGUGGGGAGCAAACAGG